rnacentral:rRNA from 1 species
UACGGAGGGUGCGAACGUUGUCCGGAAUCACUGGGCGUAAAGAGCAUGUAGGUGGCUUAGCAAGUGAAUGAUUAAAGACCGAUGCUUAACAUCGGACCAGUUGUUCAAACUACUUGGCUUGAGGAUAGCAGGGGUAAGCGGAACUUUAGGUGUAGGAGUGAAAUCCGUAGAUAUCUAAAGGAACACCAAUGGCGAAGGCAGCUUACUGGUCUAUUUCUGACACUGAGAUGCGAAAGCGUGGGGAGCGAACGGG